AUGCAUUGUCAUCAAUCACCAAAACCACGUAGGGAGAAAUAUGCCCUUACACAUUCCAUCCCUUAUUCCCGUGGCUAUGCAUCGGAUUCAGAUGACGAAGGUCCCGAUGAACAAGUUGAUGAGGAGGGGUUCACGGUGAAGGAGGCCGAAGGUUUCGAGAAGGUAUUCGAUCGGGAUCAUCAGACUACAUUGUUCAAGGAUGUUAGUCUCGCGGAUGAAGCCGUGGUAGAUGGUUUCCAAGAUAUAUCCUUGGGGUUAGGCCAAGCUCUCACCAUGAUUUGGAUGAUGGCAAGAACGGGAUUGCUAAAGGGUCUAAGUUCCAAACCUUCUUGGAAUUGA
rnacentral:rRNA from 1 species